UGGGGCGUGGCCAAGUGGUAAGGCAGGGGACUUUGGAUCCCCGACCCCUGGUUCGAAUCCAGGCGCCCCAA
rnacentral:tRNA from 1 species